ACCCGGAAACGGGCGGGGCGCGGGCCCUGGGUAGGUUCCUGUGGUAUUAGGUGGACUGGAGAAAGAGGCCCGCGUGAAUUAAGUGUAGUUCUCUUAUGCACUGGCGGACUCUGGUCGCCCUUCCUUGUGAAGGCUGCCUGGGUAGCCGUAGAGGACGAGGCCACUCUAAAGCCUCGUUUUCCCAGCGGAAUUUUAACUAUUCUAAGGAUGUCCUUACAGCCAGUUCCCCACUCCGCUACUCAGAGUGUGUCAGACUUUACCCUGUCCAUUCAACUCCAGAAAAACCGGGAGGUCUAGAUUCGGAAGAUUAAAUUUACCUUUGAAUUAGGACAUGUAAAAUAGGAAGUUAAUAUUAGCAUCCUAAUGACAAAAGUUUUCUCGUUAUCAUACUUGACUCAAAUGGGAAUCUUACGGAUAUUAAUGUUUUUUCCAGAAACAGGUUUGAAAGGUAUUUCAAGGAUAAAUCUGGGGAAAGGGAUGGAAGCAACUGAUUUUUAAUUUUUAGAUAGUACUCUCAGAGCAUUUAUUUAGUCCAAAACUGUUAAUUUAAUGAAUUAGGCUAAACUAGACGCUGGGGUAACAAAGCUGAGUUAGAUACCCUCUCCUCUGAGGCAGCUAAAGAGAAGGAAAGUCUGGUGGCUGACAAGUAAACCAACAGUUAUGUUCUUCAGAGAGGAGAUCUCAGACUCUCUAAGCAAAAGAAACUAAUAGCUGUAUGACAACAGCCAAAGAGUAAAUAUCCUUUCAAGUCCAAUCCUGCCUAAGAUGUCAAAAUCAAGAAUGAAGAGGUUAUGUGCUGAAACAGAAUGACCUUCACAAGAUGCAGCCUCUGGAUCUUGGACUUCCCCAGCCUCCAGAACUCUGAGCAGAGCCCCAUAAAUGAGAAGCCACGAAGACUGAGGUUACACAGUGAUCCACAGUUGCCACAAAACUGAGCAGGCAUCAAGGUACAUCUUGGUGUUGAAUGAAGUUGUUCCAUAUGGGCUCAUUUCUCAGGUAAAUAUCAGAAUAAGUUUAUGUGGGCAGUAAACUGAUAUGUACCCAAACACCUGUCACCAUUAAUACAUAAUAACCUUUUUGUGUUUGAAGAAGAUAUUCGAUAUCUUCCAUAUUUGGGAGAUAGUCUGAAAUACUGCACCCUGUUUAUUAGAAGGGUAGUUUCUUUCAAACGUGAAUCAAACAGUUAAAAAAACACAUUUACAUUACUUUGCUUUCUGUAGUUCACUAAGUACAUAAAGAAGUAAGUUCACUAGGUACAUAAGAAAGCCUGAAGGUAAUAAUGGAAAAUUUCUUUAUCUAGCUAUCUGGAAAAUUGCUUUCUUAUGUAACUAUGAAAAUUGUUGCUGAUCUUUGGUUUGUAUUUUUGGUUUAAAUAUUGAAGAUAUUAAGAUUCUAAUCAUUACGUAUCUGGAUGGAUGUUCAAAGAGCUAAGUAAUGUUUAUCAUGACAUUAUUUAGACAAAAUAUUAGAGACUGAGUAAAUGUCCAGUUAUAGAUAAUUCAAAUAAUAUAUUUUGGGACAUCCAUUCCAUGAAAUAAUUUGUGGACAUUUAACAUGAUAAUGUAGAACAUCAGCUUUCUGAUGGGAUGUGUUAACACUUGUGUAUCUGGUUAGAGAUAUAACUAACAUGUUGGGAACUGUGUAUAACUGGAAGCCUAUCGUAUCUGUACUACAACCCGAUUGUCCAAAUCUGAGCACACCCUUUGAAUUUUUUAUAUGUUGCUUUGGGGAAGAAAAUAGAGAACUCUUAUGAAAAUAAUGUUUAAUGAUAUGGCAAGUAAUACAGAAUAACUAAAGACAGAAGAAAAUGAGCUGGAUUGCCAACUCAUGGCAGCUACACAGAAUUGUAGGCAUUCAUUUAAGAAGGUACAUUAGGUAUCAGACAAAUGGUCAAAGAAGCUUACCACUAGUACAAAUAUUAAAGAGCAUAAAUUGUUUGAAAGCAGAGAAUUGUCUAACUUGCAGAGCAGUUAUUUUUCCAUAUAUACCUUUGUGAGGCUAUAUUUUCUGAAGUGUUAUUUCAGUUGUUGGCCUUGGAAUUUGUUUCCGUUUUCUUCCUUUGUUACUUUAAAGGAAUUAAGGUCAGCUGAUGUAUUUUUACUCUCCACGUUUGAAUUUGAGGCAGAACAAUUCCCAUGGAGAAUUCUUGUGGAACUUCAUUUUAGUUAUGUUUUAAUAAAGUCUUAUUUGUAUUGACUUCUGGGGCAGCAUGGCAUUCCCUAACUGAUAAACUACUUGGGUUUACUUUUUUUAUGGAGGGAUUUUAAUUUAAUAUGAUAGAUUCAACUGUUGUUUUUCAGGUUUUAUAUGCAUGCCUGGAAGCCUUUUAAUAACUUGCAAUAACAAACAAAAUGAAUGUGACUUUUAGGGUAGACACUUUUGUAAUUGAUAUUUUUAUCAACUCAGGAUGUUUAUUUGUUUUGCCAAAAAAUGAAGCUCAUUUUUUUCAUCCUUGGGGAAUAAAAAGUAAUGGAAUUAUAAUUUACUAAAAAGUUGCAAGAAAGAUUCCAUAGUUGGAAUGAAAAAAAUUCAUACAGAUAUAUUUCUUGCUCUCUAGACAUAAGAUUCUUGCAUAACUCACAAAAAGUACAAGAUUUUUUCCCUUAUCUUAAUAAAUUCAUUUGCCUUCCUGUAUAAAAGUUAGGGAUCAAGGAGUAAUAGAAUAUUUUAAAAAAUAUUAACAGGGAGUAAUUAAAGUUUGCAUGGACUAAAAUACUGCACAGGAAAUUAUAUUGUUUUAAUUUUUAAAAUUAUACAUUUUUUAGUACUGAAGAAUGGGAUUUUGGACACAGAAGUGAUUUUGAUAAGUGACAGAAUUCUGCCGAAGGCCAGAGGCAAAAAGAGGCAAAACAAGGAACAUAAAAAUAGAGAAUCUACAAAUUAGCAUGUUAUAAUUACUCUCUUGCAUAGCAUUUAAGGACAUCUUUGAAAAGAUUCAAUGUCUUCAGCAACUGUAUCUAACUAGCAUGUACUAUAACUCAAAUUGACAUGAUUCCUAAAGAGAAGCAUCGGGACAACUCUUCUAUAGUGAUGAGGCAUUACUGAACAAUGUUUUUGGUUGAUAAACAGUAAUAGAAAUUUGGGAUUAAAAUGGCCUUUUCAAAGGAGUAGGUCAUUCCUAUGAAAAUAAUAGAUACUUAAAUUUAUCUCUCAUUUCUUGUUUGUGUUUGUGCAUUAGUCAACUUGACACUUCAAGGAUCCUUAAUUUUUAUGAAGAUGGUAGCAUGCUGGUAACAUUUUUGAAAUACCUAUUUUUUUGAAAGCCUGUAUCUUACCUUUCCCCAAGACUGAAUAUAAGUUGUCAUGAUAGUUACAAGGCUGAUGAAAUACUGAAUGAAUUGUGGGAGGAGUGGUUGCAGCAGGGGUUGCAUGGUGAAGAGGAGGCAAAGGAAUAUGAGGAUUUCAACAAGUUGCUACAGUGAAUAGUGCUUUGUCUCAGCCCUCCAGAAACAAAAGUGAUAGCUGGUAUUUAUUAAGUUCUGCUGAUAACUUGGAGAAAUAAAAUUCCUGAGUUUCAGUUUAUUUGUAACUUAUGGCUCAGUGAUUUUAUUUCUCCAAGUACUCUCUAUAUACAUAAAGGCUUACCUGUUUUAUUGUGCUUUGCUUUAUUGUGCUCCACAGAUAUUGCAUUUUUGUUUUUAUCUAAUGACUUGAAGGUUUGUGGCAACCUUGCAUCAAGCAAUUUUAUUGACACCAUUUUUCCAACAGCAUGUGCUCAUUUCAUGUCUCUGUACCACAUGUUGGUAAUCGGCGAUAUUCAAAACUUUUUCAUUAUUAUCAUAAUAUGUAUUAAAGUGGGCCGGGCGCGGUGGCUCACGCC
rnacentral:lncRNA from 1 species